rnacentral:lncRNA from 1 species
CCUCCCUAAACACAGAUAAAAUCCUAAAACUACGAAAAACAAUAAAAAAAAGGAGAGAGACACAAAGGCUGGCAAAGCAGCGGCAAGUGACAACAGGUGACACGGUGGUGAUAAAUUUCAGGUUCGUUUUUUUCUCUUCUCUCUUCUCUAUUGAUUUUGUUUCUUUUGUAUGUGCAAUAUGCACAGUGUUUUAUGGUUUUGGAUGAAAGUUGAAAUUGUCAUAAUAGUUGUGGCUUUGUGAGGGAUAUAGAUGAAUGAUAAGUGGUUGAUUUAGGAGUAUAUAUUGUAUCAUAUAUUGUUCGGAAGUGUAGUCAAUGGUUGUAUCAUAUUGGUUUGGUUUUUGGCAAAUCUAAGGUAAAAGUUUCAAGUUUUAUUCUCAAAUUACUUUUGUCACUAAACCAAUAAACCAGAAAAAUCAAGAAAAUUUGUUUAUGAUAUUGUAUGACUAAAUCAAAGCAUAACACUAAAUCAAUAAUAAUAGUAUAUCACUAAAUUAAUAACAUUAAGAUUUGCUUCGCAUCUUUAUGGAUCGAUCAAUGUUGUGGUAAAAAUCCCGCACAAAACAGAAACUUGGAGAAAUUUGGGGGAAGGAAAAAAUGGCAUUUUUUUGGGGUGACAUGUCUUUUUGUCU